rnacentral:rRNA from 1 species
GCACUUUCAGUAGGGAGGAAGGUAGUGUAGUUAACACCUGCAUUAUUUUGACGUUACCUACAGAAGAAGCACCGGCUAACUCCGUGCCAGCAGCCGCGGUAAUACGGAGGGUGCGAGCGUUAAUCGGAAUUACUGGGCGUAAAGCGCAUGCAGGCGGCCUGUUAAGUCAGAUGUGAAAGCCCGGGGCUUAACCCUACGGAAUUGCUAUUUAGAAACUGGCAGGCUAGAGUCUUGUAGGAGGGGGUAGAAUUUCAGGUGUAGCGGUGAAAUGCGUAGAGAUCUGAAGGAAUACCAGUGGCGAACGGCGGCCCCCUGGACAAAGACUGACGCUGAGGUGCGAAAGUGUGGGGAGCAAACAGGAUUAGAUACCCUGGUAG